GUUCAGGCUACAGCUGGGUCAAUUAACAGCUUCAAGAGUUUAAAACCCACCUGGAGCUCAGUUGACACUCAUUGGCCCAAGGAAACAAUGGAGAAAUCGUUUGUUGUUAAAGAUAUGAAAAGCUUUGAGUGUUCCUCUCCAUCGGAGCUUGACAGGAAGUUUUUGGUG